GAGACCCCCCAGCCCCCAGUGAGAUCACAUGUUCCUUCCAUGUCAGUGGUCCCCACGUGGGCACCUCGCUUCCUGGCACAGUCACAACAUACUUCCCAGAGCAUUGGAUACUGAGAGUGCUGCAAUAUAUGGCCACUGCCCCACACUUCCAUGUAUGAAAGAGUUAAGCGGAUAUAAGACCUCAGGCUGCAAGGGGCUUAGUCGGCUCUCAGCAGCCUCUGCGCCCUGCUUCUCAGGGAGAUUUUAAAGCCUGCAUCUUUGCUAACCCUAAUAUGGCAUGAUCUUUUUCGUAAGGAAACUCAGUACUUUUCUUUUUAAGUCGUUUGGAGCCUCUCUUUUUUGUUCUUUGUUUUACUGCCAGCGAAUAGAGACAUGUUUGCUGUAACUUCUGGCAACUCUGUGAGUAAAAUAAUGCCUUAUUUGC